rnacentral:rRNA from 1 species
GCGAAAACUUUACAAUGCUGGCAACAGCGAUAAGGGAACCUCGAGUGCCAGGUUACAAAUCUGGCUGUCGAGAUGCCUAAAAAGCAUUUCAUAGCAAAGGCCGGGCAAUACCGGUGCUAGCCGCCGCGGUAACACCGGCGGCUCGAGUGGUAACCGUUAUUAUUGGGUCUAAAGGGUCUGUAGCCGGCCGGAUAAGUCUCUUGAGAAAUCUGGCAGCUUAACUGUCAGGCUUUCAGGAGAUACUGUCUGGCUCGAGGCCGGGAGAGGUGAGAGGUACUUCAGGGGUAGGGGUGAAAUCGUGUAAUCCUUGAAGGACCACCAGUGGCGAAGGCGUCUCACCAGAACGGACCUGACGGCAAGGGACGAAAGCUAGGGGCACGAACC